CGGGGUGUGGCUCAGUUUGGUUAGAGCGCCUGCUUUGGGAGCAGGAGGCCGGCAGUUCGAAUCUGCCCAUCCCGACCA
rnacentral:tRNA from 1 species